rnacentral:rRNA from 1 species
GACGAACGCUGGCGGCGUGCCUAAUACAUGCAAGUCGAACGCUUCUUUCCUCCCGAGUGCUUGCACUCAAUUGGAAAGAGGAGUGGCGGACGGGUGAGUAACACGUCGGUAACCUACCCAUCAGAGGGGGAUAACACUUGGAAACAGGUGCUAAUACCGCAUAACAGUUUAUGCCGCAUGGCAUAAGAGUGAAAGGCGCUUUCGGUGGUCGCUGAUGGAUGGACCCGCGGUGCAUUAGCUAGUUGGUGAGGUAACGGCUCACCAAGGCAACGAUGCAUAGCCGACCUGAGAGGGUGAUCGGCCACACUGGGACUGAGACACGGCCCAGACUCCUACGGGAGGCAGCAGUAGGGAAUCUUCGGCAAUGGACGAAAGUCUGACCGAGCAACGCCGCGUGAGUGAAGAAGGUGUUCGGAUCGUAAAACUCUGUUGUUAGAGAAGAACAAGGACGUUAGUAACUGAACGUCCCCUGACGGUAUCUAAACAGAAAGCCGCGGCUAACUACGUG